GACGAACGCUGGCGGCGUGCUUAACACAUGCAAGUCGUACGGUAAGGCCCUUUCGGGGGUACACGAGUGGCGAACGGGUGAGUAACACGUGAGUAACCUGCCCACAACUUUGGGAUAACGCUAGGAAACUGGUGCUAAUACUGGAUAUGUGCUCCUGCUGCAUGGUGGGGGUUGGAAAGCUCCGGCGGUUGUGGAUGGACUCGCGGCCUAUCAGCUUGUUGGUGGGGUAGUGGCCUACCAAGGCGGCGACGGGUAGCCGGCCUGAGAGGGUGACCGGCCACAUUGGGACUGAGAUACGGCCCAGACUCCUACGGGAGGCAGCAGUGGGGAAUAUUGCACAAUGGGCGCAAGCCUGAUGCAGCAACGCCGCGUGCGGGAUGACGGCCUUCGGGUUGUAAACCGCUUUCAGCAGGGACGAAGCUUUUGUGACGGUACCUGCAGAAGAAGCACCGGCUAACUACGUG
rnacentral:rRNA from 1 species